rnacentral:snRNA from 1 species
GUCGCUUCUUGGCCUUUUGGCUAAGAUCAAGCGUAGAAUCUUGUGGAGAACGGGAAACUGUGGACUCUCAAUUUCCAUAUUUUGAGUUUUUAAACAUAUUUUAAAAUUUUUCACCAAUU